rnacentral:rRNA from 1 species
GUGCCAGCAGCCGCGGUAAUACGGGGGGGGCAAGCGUUGUUCGGAAUUACUGGGCGUAAAGGGCGUGUAGGCGGCCCGGCAAGUCAGUUGUGAAAUCCCCAGGCUCAACUUGGGAAUUGCAACUGAAACUGCCAGGCUGGAGUUCAGGAGAGGAGAGCGGAACUCCCAGUGUAGCGGUGAAAUGCGUAGAUAUUGGGAGGAACACCGGUGGCGAAGGCGGCUCUCUGGACUGAAACUGACGCUGAGGCGCGAAAGCUAGGGGAGCAAACGGGAUUAGAUACCCGGGUAGUCC